AUUGAACGCUGGCGGCAUGCUUUACACAUGCAAGUCGAACGGUAACAGGUCUUCGGAUGCUGACGAGUGGCGAACGGGUGAGUAAUACAUCGGAACGUGCCUAGUAGUGGGGGAUAACUACUCGAAAGAGUAGCUAAUACCGCAUGAGAUCUACGGAUGAAAGCAGGGGACCUUCGGGCCUUGUGCUACUAGAGCGGCUGAUGGCAGAUUAGGUAGUUGGUGGGGUAAAGGCUUACCAAGCCUGCGAUCUGUAGCUGGUCUGAGAGGACGACCAGCCACACUGGGACUGAGACACGGCUCAGACUCCUACGGGAGGCAGCAGUGGGGAAUUUUGGACAAUGGGCGAAAGCCUGAUCCAGCAAUGCCGCGUGCAGGAUGAAGGCCCUCGGGUUGUAAACUGCUUUUGUACGGAACGAAAAGCCUGGGGCUAAUAUCCCCGGGUCAUGACGGUACCGUAAGAAUAAGCACCGGCUAACUACGUG
rnacentral:rRNA from 1 species